AGACGGGACCCGCACAAGCGGUGGAUGAUGUGGUUUAAUUCGAUGCAACGCGAAAAACCUUACCCACCUUUGACAUGUAUGGAAGUUUCCAGAGAUGGAUUCGUGCUCGAAAGAGAGCCAUAACACAGGUGCUGCAUGGCUGUCGUCAGCUCGUGUCGUGAGAUGUUGGGUUAAGUCCCGCAACGAGCGCAACCCUUGUCAUUAGUUGCUACAUUCAGUUGGGCACUCUAAUGAGACUGCCGGUGACAAACCGGAGGAAGGUGGGGAUGACGUCAAGUCCUCAUGGCCCUUAUAGGUGGGGCUACACACGUCAUACAAUGGCCGGUACAAAGGGUCGCAAACCCGCGAGGGGGAGCCAAUCCAUCAAAGCCGGUCGUAGUCCGGAUCGCAGUCUGCAACUCGACUGCGUGAAGUCGGAAUCGCUAGUAAUCGUGGAUCAGCAUGUCACGGUGAAUACGUUCCCGGGUCUU
rnacentral:rRNA from 1 species